AUUGAACGCUGGCGGCAGGCCUAACACAUGCAAGUCGAGCGGCUGAAGGGAGCUUGCUCCUCGAUUCAGCGGGGGACGGGUGAGCGAUGCCUAGGAAUCUGCCUGGUAGCGGGGGCUAACGUCCGGAAAUAGGGGCUAAUACGGCAUCCGUCCAGAGGGAGAAGGUGGGGGAUCUUCGGACCUCACGCUGUCCGAUGAGCCUAGGUCGGAUUAGCUAGUUGGUGGGGUAAAGGCCUACCAAGGCGACGAUCCGUAACUGGUCUGAGAGGAUGAUCAGUCACACUGGAACUGAGACACGGUCCAGACUCCUACGGGAGGCAGCAGUGGGGAAUAUUGGACAAUGGGCGAAAGCCUGAUCCAGCCAUGCCGCGUGGGUGAAGAAGGGCUUCGGAUUGUAAAGCACUUUAAGUGGGGAGGAAGGGCAGUAAGUUAAUACCUGGCUGUUUUGACGGUACCAAGAGAAUAAGCACCGGCUAACUUCGUG
rnacentral:rRNA from 1 species